rnacentral:lncRNA from 1 species
GGAGACCGCCGACGACCAGGAGUAGUUAGGAGGUCCAAGGCAGGAGGCCUUGCCUCUUCGAUCGUUGUUGCUUUUGUGCUAGCCUUCUUAAGGCAUCCUUGUUUAACUUAUGUCUGUACUCAGAUAUUGUUGCUUCCGCUGACUCUUGUGUAUCGAGCUUGUAUUCGAGCCCUCGAGGCCCUGGCUUGUAAUAUAAAGCUUGUAUUAUUUUAUUUGUGUCUAGAGUUGUGUUGUGAUAUCUUCCCGUGAGUCCCUGAUCUUGAUCAUACACAUUUGCGUGUAUGAUUAGUGUGCGGUAGAAUCGGGGGCGUCACAAGUUGGUAUCAGAGCCGACUGCCUGUAGGAACCCCCCUUUCCAACUCCUUGGCCGAAGUUGAGUCUAGUCUUUGAAAAACUGAUUUACUAACAUGGUUGUGCGGUUACGGGCCCACGUCGCCAUUGGGUGGUAUUAGGAUCUUUUACUCCUCGUCUAUACUCUGGGGCUCUGAUCUCUCUUCUAUACGGGUUAAAUGAUUUUGCGAACUAUAACCUUAGGAUCUCGUGAUCACAUCCCCCCGGAGAUUUGUAUUACGCCUUUCUUGAAUUGAGGGCCAAGUUCUACUUGACAAUGUUCAGUGACGGCAGGAUCCUCAUAUCGAGGGCACCCUGCAUCGUCACUUGCAAACCCUCACUCCAGAGGUUUUCCCCAACGCUGAUGUAGUCUUUGCUAUGUCUCAUUGUUGCAUCCCUACAUCGCGUGCAUGCGUGCCGCCUAGUAUGUCUAUGAUGUUUCUCUUGUGUGAACUCAUAUGAACAUCGUGUAAUUGGCCCCGCAUAUGUAAUGGUGUGUCUUCAAUGACUACUGCUUUGUACAUACUGCGCCUUUGCUAACUAUUCAAUUUACAUCAUGGAUGACUCCAUAGACUUGCUCCACCCCUCGCUGAACUGCCCCAUGUUGCAUUUAAGCAGGAUGGGUAGACCCGCUUGUCGUGGCCGUGGUGGCAACAGUCCACCACCUCCUGAAUACAUGGCCGGAAUGAUACGACAGUUUGAUGCUGAAUCGUCAGUUCAUGGAAGGAGUCAUGGCUCAGUUUCCGUAUCUCAUUAUGAAUCAGCAACCCGCCCCAGUGACUCUACAAGACUUUGUGCGUCUCAACCCUGUCAUCUACUACAGCUCAACUUAGCCCCUUCAUGCUGACAACUGGCUUUGUGACAUCACUUUCGAGCUGGCGUCUGCUGAUGUAUCCCCUUCCAACUAUGUCACCUUCGUGGCUUAUUACCUGAAAGGUCCCGCUGCUUAAUGGUGGGACAGCCACAAUCGUUCCUUACCUGUUGGAACCACCAUCACUUGGCCGGAAUUCCAAGCUACCUUCUGCGGGCCAAUGUCGAACCAUCAUGGUUAGUCGUAACGUUCCCGUUGAGCUUGAAGGGUUGGAAUUCCUUGUUUCCCCAUUAUUUUGAAGUCAUCCAGUAUUGAGCUCAUUCUGGAAAUGGAAUGGUUGGAAGCACAUACUGCUUCUAUCAUUUGCGCCACUAAAACCAUCCAUCUACUACAUCCAUCAAAGGAGAUAGUAAGCCACCAUGCUCAUCUUCUUCGAAAUGCCGAAUCACGGAUUUAUUCCUUGAAUGCAUUAAACACUUCUCCUCUUGCGAGAAUUGAAAAUGCUCCAGCCGUUUGUAAAUUCGAAGAUGCCAUUCCAAAAGAACUACCUAGUCCAUGACCUUGGACUUGAGGCAGUUAAAUUAGCACUAAAGUUGUGGCAGCAUUUUCUUUUUGGUAAUCGUUGCGAGAUCUACACUGAUCAUCAAAGUCUGAAGUAUUUGUUUACUCAGUUGGAUUUGGAUCCCCGAAAGCAGCGAUGUUUGGAAACAAUCACAUACCGUGACUACGUAUUUUUAUACCCCUGCCAGGUUGUUAUCAUGGCCGAUGCCCUGUGUUGCAAGUCUUAUUGCAACAACCACUUAGCUUCUAUUGCUCACCCCUGCAAGAUGAUCUCACUUACAGAGAGCAUCCGAUCGGCAUUCUCGAUCAAGUUGGACGUCGCACCCGUCAAAGGACUAUCAAAUUUCUAAAAGUUCAGUGGUCAAAUCCUUCUGAAGAUGAAGCAACAUGGGAACGCGAGGAUCGUCUCCAUGAUGAAUACCCCGCUUUGUUUCCGUCUACCUCCAAAAUCUCGGGACGAGAUUUCUUGUAGUGGAGGAGAAUUGUCACGCCUGGAUAAUUAAGCUACAGUAAACCCCUGCUAAUGAUGCCAGAUCAUCACAUUACUGUUGCUAAUCCUCGCUUGAUCCAAAUCUUAGUUCAAACUCAAAUUUAAAUUAAAGCCCAGAAUUCAAAUUCCUCAAACAUGCAAUUAUAAAUGUUCAAAGUGUGGCAAAUAUUCCAUAAUCAAUUAUGGUGCUGACCUAACACUUUUGUAAAGUAUUUAGAUGCCCUUUCUGAAUAUAACAGUGACUAAAACAACCACAUUAGUCUUAUUACUUUUGUUAAAAAAAUCAAAUGAAUUCAAUUAUUACCCCAACCAUUUUUGGCAGUGUAUAAAUAUGCAAUGCUAAUUAUGGACCAAGUUCUAUGUUUUAUAAAACUACUUUACUACUAAAAAUAAAAGCAAAGCAGAAAAGAAAAUAGUAAAAACAAAGAAAAUAAAAGGAAUAAAAAGCCCCCUCCCCCUCACUGCCCUGGGCCUCAGUCCACAGUGGCAGGCCUCAGCCCAGCCGCCCAACCCCCACCCUCGGUCGCCUUCUACUGCUCGACCGACCGCUCGGUCGCGGUCGCUACCCGACCGGCUCGCCGGCGUCGUCGGCGAGGGGAUAAGAUCCCCCGACACCUCGACCCCCUCNNNNNNNNNNNNNNNNNNNNNNNNNNNNNNNNNNNNNNNNNNNNNNNNNNNNNNNNNNNNNNNNNNNNNNNNNNNNNNNNNNNNNNNNNNNNNNNNNNNNNNNNNNNNNNNNNNNNNNNNNNNNNNNNNNNNNNNNNNNNNNNNNNNNNNNNNNNNNNNNNNNNNNNNNNNNNNNNNNNNNNNNNNNNNNNNNNNNNNNNNNNNNNNNNNNNNNNNNNNNNNNNNNNNNNNNNNNNNNNNNNNNNNNNNNNNNNNNNNNNNNNNNNNNNNNNNNNNNNNNNNNNNNNNNNNNNNNNNNNNNNNNNNNNNNNNCUCGGCGCCCCCUUCCCAAAUCCACUCCUCCCUUUCCCCUCGCUCUUCUCCACCCAAGCGCCUCCUGUCGCCGCCGCCGUCGUCCGCCGCAGCGACCAUCGCUCCCCGUCCUGCACGAUGCGUCUCGGAGCUUCACAUGCCUCGACUCUGUCCCCUGCAUCGACCCACUGUUGCUGGGGAGGCACCACGUCUUCGGCUCCAAGCUCGCCUCCCCGACGGCCACCGCCCCUUCCUGUCUACGUCGAGCCCUGCGCUACUAAGCCCCCGAGGGACCUCCGUGCGUCCACACGGCGAGCACCACCCGCUCCCCCUUUCCCUCGUCGCCAUAGCACCGCUACCUGCGAGCUUCGGCUCCGCAAUCCGCCGUGGCCGGAGCUCUCCUCCCGCGCGCGCUCGCACGUCGUCCGCUCCGCCCCCGCACCUCGAUUGCCGCACAUCCUGCGCGCCUAUGGCCCCUUCCCCGCGACCCAUGCGCCCGCUCCCCGCACGUCACUGUCUGCGCCUGGCGACCUCCUUCUGGCCAACUGCGCCCUGCGCACGCCCGCCCGCGGGUAGCUACGACCACGCUACACCGUCGCCGCCCCACGUCCCGCCCGCGUCGGCCGCCCGACACUCACGCCCGCGCGCACCGGCCCCUGCUUCUACCCGCCUCCGUAGCCGCCCUGUGGCCUCCCGCUGCUGCAGCCCCGCCCCGGCUCGCUCCCCUACCCGCGUCCGCUCCCCGUGCACUGUCGCGCUGCUCCCGCCCUGGCUCGCUAGCCCUGCCGUGCGCUCGGCCUUGCCCCGCCCGAGUUCGUUGCCGGCGUCAGGCCACGGCCUCGCCCCGCACCUGUGCGGGCUGUCGGCGCCCCGCCGUGCCCUGGUGGCCAUCGCCGGCCACGGCCUCGCCCGUGUGUUCGGGCGGGCGCCCACGCCCACGCCCUCUUGCCCGAUAGCCAGCGCCCGCUAUGGCCUCUGGCCCAAUGCCAGGUGGGCCCCAGCCCUGUAAAAAAAAGUAAAACAAAAAUAAAUAUUAAUAAAAUUAAUUAAUUAAUUAGUUAGUUAAAUGAUUAAUUAACUUAAUUAAUUAAUCUUAGGUAAACUAAUGAACUAGAUUAGUUAAUUUAAUCAGUAGUUAGGUAAAUGUGUGUAUGACAGGGGGGCCCACCCCCUCUUGACCUGUCAAACGUUGACUGGUCAACUGGGACCCCCUGAACCCGCUUGUCACCCUCUGGUGCACCUCUAUGUACACAGAUCUGGGUGCACAUACCAUUUAGCUAUUUAUUUCGAAUUAAUAGUAAAUUCAGGAAAUUGCUUAAACCUUUGAAAAAUCAUAGAAAAUAAUUCGUACCUCGGAUGAAAAAGUUUUAUACAUGAAAGUUGCUCUGAAAAAUGUGACGAGUCCGAAUACGCAGUCCGUUCAUCUGUCACACAUCCCUAGCAUAGCGAACAUGCAACCUUUCCCCUUCGUUUCAUCUGUCCGAAAAUGCCUAACUCCGGGAAAACUUUUCGGACGUUAUCCCCCGUCGCCGGUACCGUGUAACUCCGCGUUAGAACACCCCUAGCGCUGCUUGUUGGCUUGUCAUGUUUAGUAUUCCACUUGUUUGCUCUGUAUUUACUGUGUUUUCCCCCUCUUCUCUCCGGUAGACCCCGAGACCGCUGCUGAUGCACCUGUGAUCGACUACGUCGACGACGACCCUUCUCCCCUUUCAGCGAAGCUUCCAGGCAAGCCCCCCCUUUGAUCAUCCCGGUAUCGCCCGUUCCAUUCUCUCAUGCUUGCAUUAGAUUUUGCUACUGUUAUUGAUUGCUCCUAUUCUGAUGCAUAGCCUGCUUUUGUACCUGCUAUUGUUACCUACCUGCUUAUCCUAAACUGCUUAGUAUAGGUUGGAUAGUGAUCCAUCAGUGACCUCCACCUUGUCCUUGUUGCCCCUGCUUCAUCUUCGACGACUCGAUCAACGUGAUCGAUGACCAGAGCCUGACACCUCACCUCACAUCACACCCCUUUAGUUGCUCGACUCUGCAGAGCUACUAUCGAGUGUCGAGGUUGAUCCCUCAUAACGCACUCCUGAUAAUAAUUCUGUAGUGUAGCUAUUCAGUCGUGGUCAUCGAGGGUGAUUUCCUCUUUCACCAUUCCCGAUACGGCUCUGUCGUGCAACACCUCAAUUGUGAACCUCGAGGGUGGUCCAUCUUACGUUCACCUUGAUGAUUACAUUGAGUGGAAUCCACCGGGGGUGAUUCCUCGGGUUUUCCCCUUGAUGUCUGGACACACGGUUACCUUGACUUUACUUGAGACAUUGAAGAAAGUCAGGCGGGCCCGGAGAGCACCCGAGGAGUUGUUACGGUGGCGGCUGGCUGUUUAGCGGUAUCAUCCGGAAGGGGGUGAUCCCGACAUCCGUCACUUCUUUUAAUAAUGCACUAACAGGUUUGGUUAUUUGUUCUGAGUUUGCCUUUGGCCUUUACACACUAACCACCACGCGAGAAUAGUUAUGGGCAUCGACAUCGCAGUAUCAGCCGAAUAUUUGUCAGACGUCCAUUUCAGCAUUGUCGCACGGUCGGAUCGUGCUGGCCAUCCGAGGCGGUGCUGGUAUCCACCCAGCACACAACGACCUGGAGUGCUGCGGGCGAUGGGCCCAAGACCCCGGAGUGCUUAGGAUGUAGACCGGCGGGGACCUCUCUGCUGAGCCUAGGUAGGGCUGCGACAUGUUGAUCUUUCGAGGCCGGGCAUUGACCCCAGAAAGGUGUGUCCGGCCAGAGUGAUUGAGCGUGUUGGGUAACGUAGUGCACCCCUGUAGGGAAGAUAUAUAUUCGAAUACCGUGUCCAUGGUAAUGGACGUUCAGACUUAUAUCCUGAUCUUAUAUAACUAGAAAUGGAUACUUGAGAUAUGUGAUGGAUAUGUGGCUCCGAGAUUGCUUUCUCGCAGGGAGUCGAGGAAGGAUCUCUAGGCGUUGGUUCUACAACAUGUUUGUUAAAUAUUAAACUGCUAUUCUUUACUCUUCUACAUGCUGCAAGAUGCUUGGAGUUGCUUGAAGAUGCUAGUCUUUGAUAGGCUAGGCCUUCCCCCUCUAUUCUGGCAUUAUGUAGUUCAGUCCAUAGAUACAAACCUUCCAUUUGAUACCAAUGCAUACUUAGUAUAGAUCUGAUGCUUGCGAGUACUUUGGAUGAGUACUCACGGUUGCUUUGCUACCCCUUUUCUCCCUACUUUCUUCUUUCCGGUUGAUGCAACCAGAUGGCGGAUCCCUGGAGCCAGAUGCCACCGCUGACGGAUACUACUACGUGGAGACCGCUGACGACCAGGAGUAGUUAGGAGGUCCCAGGCAGGAGGCCUUGCCUCUUCGAUCGUUGUUGCUUUUGUGCUAGCCUUCUUAAGGCAUCCUUGUUUAACUUAUGUCUGUACUCAGAUAUUGUUGCUUCCGCUGACUCUUGUGUAUCGAGCUUGUAUUCGAGCCCUCGAGGCCCCUGGCUUGUAAUAUAAAGCUUGUAUUAUUUUAUUUAUGUCUAGAGUUGUGUUGUGAUAUCUUCCCGUGAGUCCCUGAUCUUGAUCGUACACAUUUGC